AUACUUACCUGGCAGGGGAGAUACCAUGAUCACAUAGGUGGUUUUCCCAGGGCGAGGCCCACCCAUUGCACUUGGGGUGUGCUGACCCCUGCGAUUUCCCCAAAUGCGGGAAACUCGACGGCAUAAUUUGUGGUAGCGGGGGACUGCGUUCGCGCGCUCCCCUG
ensembl:snRNA U1 U1 spliceosomal RNA